AUUGAACGCUGGCGGCAUGCCUAACACAUGCAAGUCGAACGAGUGGCGGACGGGUGAGUAAUGUAUGGGAAACUGCCUGAUGGAGGGGGAUAACUACUGGAAACGGUAGCUAAUACCGCAUACCAUCGGAUGUUCCCAGAUGGGAUGAGCUAGUAGGUGGUGGAAAGGCUCACCUAGGCGACGAUCCCUAGCUGGUCUGAGAGGAUGACCAGCCACACGGGGACUGAGACACGGUCCAGACUCCUACGGGGGGCAGCAGUGGGGACUAUUGCACAAUGGGCGCAAGCCUGAUGCAGCCAUGCCGCGUGUAUGAAGAAGGCCUUCGGGUUGUAAAGUACUUUCAGCGGGGAGGCGUUACCCGCAGAAGAAGCACCGGCUAACUCCGUGCCAGCAGCCGCGGUAAUUC
rnacentral:rRNA from 1 species